GGGGGACCUUCGGGCCUCUUGCCAUCGGAUGUGCCCAGAUGGGAUUAGCUAGUAGGUGGGGUAACGGCUCACCUAGGCGACGAUCCCUAGCUGGUCUGAGAGGAUGACCAGCCACACUGGAACUGAGACACGGUCCAGACUCCUACGGGAGGCAGCAGUGGGGAAUAUUGCACAAUGGGCGCAAGCCUGAUGCAGCCAUGCCGCGUGUAUGAAGAAGGCCUUCGGGUUGUAAAGUACUUUCAGCGGGGAGGAAGGGAGUAAAGUUAAUACCUUUGCUCAUUGACGUUACCCGCAGAAGAAGCACCGGCUAACUCCGUGCCAGCAGCCGCCGUAAUCAGGAGGGUCAAGC
rnacentral:rRNA from 1 species